rnacentral:lncRNA from 10 species
CUGAAGAUCACUGUUCCCUAAAGAAAGCCUUCUGAGCCUCUCAAGUGGCUGGCUGUUCACAGAGUGCUUUGGCCUGGGCAUCAGGAGACAUGAGCUCUAGUUCACUUGGCUAUGUGUAGCCACUUUGGCAAGUCCUGGUCCUUCCCUGGGCCUCGCUGUCCUCUCUGUGAAGUGGGGCUAAUGCUGUCUGGGCCAGCCUGUCUCUCAGGGUGAAUGUGAGGCUUCUGCCCCUUUCCCAUACCCACUGCCUGUACCUGUGGUGGGUUCUGCCAACAGGGAAUGAAUCUGAGCCUGCAGAGUCCCCGUCUGUCUCUGCGAUGGUCUGCUGGCUGAUGGAGGUUGGCAGGUUCACCAGUACCUGGUUGAGCAGCUUGGCUUUGCCAACCUUGAUGCCUUCAUACAGUACAGCCAGAAGCAGGAGCACCAACACCGAAAGGGCCAUGCCUGUCAAAGGAGGCAGAGUUGUGGAGACCUGGCCAGGCCAGCACUGUUUCCCUUCCAGCACCUCCACCUGUUCAUGGAAUCCACUCCAUCCACCUCUAUCCUGCACCUUCUUCCCCACCCUUGCUGAGUUCCGAACUUCUUCACUGUCUUCACCAGACUUUUCUUAGCUGGAGUGUGGCUUUGAGAUCAGGAAGAGAAGCCACCUGAAAAAUCCAGGGGCUGAGGGUGAAGAAGCCACGUACCAUUACCCCACCCACUCCCCCAGCAGGCUGCACAAAUCUGUCGUGACUUCUUGUUAAGUGAUGAGUACUGCAAGGUCCUAUUUAUAUGUAAGUAUGCAAAAAAUGUCUGGAAGGAAAGAUAAAUAGCACAAGAGUAAUAGUUAUCUCAGCAAAGUAGGAUACAGGUGGUUUUUAUGUUCUUGCCUAACUUUCUAAGGUUUCUUUUAUAUAUAUUACUUUUAUAAUAGGGGAAAAACCCAAUAAAUUAUUUUACCAAAACUA